GAUGAACGCUGGCGGCGUGCUUAACACAUGCAAGUCGAACGGAAAGGCUCCUGCUUGCAGGGGUACUCGAGUGGCGAACGGGUGAGUAACACGUGGGUGAUCUGCCCUUCACUUCGGGAUAAGCCUGGGAAACUGGGUCUAAUACCGGAUAGGACCAUGGUUUGCAUGCCAUUGUGGAGAGUUUUUCGGCGUGGGGGGAGCUCGCGGCCUCUCAGCUUGUUGGUGGGGUAAUGGUCUACCAACGCGUCGACGGGUAGCCGGCCUGGGGGGGUGUACGGCCACAUUGGGACUGAGGAACGGCCCAGGCUCCUACGGGGAGGAGCAGUUGGGAAUAUUGCACAAUGGGGGCAAGGCUGAUGCAGCGAAGCCGGGUGGGGGGUGACGGCCUUCGGGUUGUAAACUCCUUUCGCUAGGGACGAAGCGGUUUGUGACGGUACCUGGUGAAGAAGCACCGGCUAACUACGUG
rnacentral:rRNA from 1 species